rnacentral:rRNA from 1 species
AGUGAACGCUGGCGGCAGGCCUAACACAUGCAAGUCGAACGGCAGCACAAGAGAGCUUGCUCUCUGGGUGGCGAGUGGCGGACGGGUGAGGAAUGCAUCGGAAUCUGCCCAUUUGUGGGGGAUAACCUCGGGAAACCGGGACUAAUACCGCAUACGACCUACGGGUGAAAGCAGGGGAUCUUCGGACCUUGCGCAGAUGGAUGAGCCGAUGCCGGAUUAGCUAGUUGGAGGGGUAAAGGCCCACCAAGGCGACGAUCCGUAGCUGGUCUGAGAGGAUGAUCAGCCACACUGGGACUGAGACACGGCCCAGACUCCUACGGGAGGCAGCAGUGGGGAAUAUUGGACAAUGGGCGCAAGCCUGAUCCAGCCAUGCCGCGUGUGUGAAGAAGGCCUUCGGGUUGUAAAGCACUUUUGUUGGGAAAGAAAAGCAGCCGGUUAAUACCCGGUUGUCAUGACGGUACCCGAAGAAUAAGCGCCGGCUAACUUCGUG